UUUUCCUCUCUAUAUAUGUUGAUCUUCACCCUCCCUCUUCAGAUUACUCUCUCUCCCUCUCUUCACGUUCUCUCUCUCUCUCUUCCUCUUUAUGUGUCUUUCCUUCUCUGAAAGAAACACCGAUACAUGGAUUCUCAUACAAACGACAAGAAGUUCCCCUGUUGUUUCUUGAUCCUCUUCUUCUGCCAAGGUACUUAAACAUUCUUUGCCUAGCAUGAGAGGUUGCUAGGUGAUGCUAAUUAUUCUUAAACACACUGAAAAUGUACACAUAAUUCACUGUUAACACCAAAUUAUAUUACCGAUGUAAUCUACUCCCUCCAUUUCUUU